CUGGAGUAUAGUUGAUCUCAGCUCACUGCAACGUCUGCCUCCUGGGCUGAAGCGAUCCUCCCAGCUCAAUCUUUCAAGUAGCUGGGACUACAGCCUUUUAAAGAUCGCUGUGAAUGGUUCUAUGAACAUUUGCAUUCAGGACAGCCAGAUUCAGACAUGGUGCACAGGCCAGUGAAUGAAAAUGAUAUCCUGCUGGUUCACAGAGGAGUAGCUGUGAAGUUGUGUCAAAAGCAAAUUGUGCAAAGCUAAAGCAAGGGAUUGCUGUACGGUUCCAUGGAGAAGAAGGCAUGGGUCAAGGUGUUGUGCGUGAGUGGUUUGAUAUUCUGUCCAAUGAGAUAGUCAAUCCUGAUUAUGCAUUGUUUACCCAGUCAGCUGAUGGAACAACUUUUCAGCCUAAUAGCAACUCUUAUGUAAAUCCUGAUCACUUGAACUAUUUUCGGUUUGCUGGGCAGAUCUUGGGAUUAGCGUUGAACCACAGGCAGCUGGUCAAUAUUUACUUCACACGAUCCUUCUACAAGCACAUUCUUGGUAUUCCUGUAAAUUACCAAGAUGUGGCAUCCAUUGAUCCAGAAUAUGGGAAAAAUUUGCAAUGGAUUUUAGAUAAUGAUAUAAGUGAUCUGGGUCUAGAACUAACUUUUUCUGUUGAGACUGAUGUGUUUGGAGCAAUGGAAGAGGUGCCUUUGAAACCUGGGGGUGGGAGUAUUCUUGUGACACAAAAUAAUAAAGCGGAGUACGUCCAGCUUGUUACUGAACUUCGAAUGACAAGAGCCAUUCAGCCUCAGAUCAAUGCUUUUUUACAGGGCUUUCAUAUGUUCAUUCCACCCUCCCUCAUACAGCUUUUUGAUGAAUAUGAAUUGGAGCUACUGCUUUCUGGCAUGCCAGAAAUUGAUGUGAGUGAUUGGAUAAAAAAUACAGAAUACACAAGUGGCUAUGAAAGAGAAGAUCCAGUUAUUCAGUGGUUCUGGGAAGUUGUAGAAGACAUUACUCAAGAGGAGAGAGUUCUUCUCUUACAGUUUGUUACGGGCAGUUCCAGGGUCCCACAUGGUGGGUUUGCUAAUAUCAUGGGUGGAAGUGGAUUGCAAAACUUUACAAUCGCUGCUGUGCCAUAUACUCCAAAUCUUUUACCAACUUCAAGCACAUGCAUCAACAUGCUCAAGUUACCUGAAUACCCAAGUAAAGAAAUACUCAAGGACAGACUUCUUGUGGCACUACAUUGUGGCAGCUAUGGUUACACAAUGGCAUAAUGAAGUCUGGAAAACUCCUCUGACUACUGAUGCACAAUUCAGAAUGGCAGAAGUAAUUUGGGAAAAUGUCAACAAAAAAGCAGCCUAAAUGCAACCCAUAGGCAGGGCUGAUGCUUCCAAUUUAUAAAGGAUCAUCAGGUUUUCUGUUUCUCUCUUUUCCCUUUUAUGUUUUCUCUGUUUGUGAUACAAUUAGAAAAUAUAAAAUCACAGUAGAUUUUAUUUUUUUAAAUGCUAACGGAAAGUAAUAGAGACUGUCCUUUUUCAUAAUUAAUUUUAUCCAAGACUGUAUUAAGGCAAAAUCUGAUUCUACAUUCCACCUCUGCUAUGUAACUGUCUUGUUAAAAGGGUGUUUUCUCUUAAUUUCUGAUAUAUUAUAUGAGGUCAUCCAGCUGGUAUGUUCUUUUGCAUGUAAACUGCCAUUUAUAUUUUAGAAAAUUAUUGUAUAGAAUGGAUUUAGAUUGUCUAUAAAGCCACAAAUACGUAUUUUGCCACAGUGUAUUCUAUAUUGCAAUGAUUUUUUUAGCAUUUUAAUAUUUUAAUAUAUAUUGUAAAAUUUAGACUGAUGAUACUAACAGUUGAUGAAAUGACAUAUAAUUUAUAUAUUAAAGCUUACACUAUAUUGUAUGAAUUACUUGCAUCUUUCAGUGGCCAGUUUUCCAUAUGUAUAUAUUAUGGUCUCAAUGUUUUUCUUAUGCCUCAUUUUAAUUUUUAAUGAAGGUAAAAUUAAAAUGUAUUUUACCACAUUUCUUUUCCUUACUUUUAUCUGUGAGCUCUGACACAUCUGAAAAAGUAAUCUGAUGUGCAAAUUAUAAUUUAAAUAUGUUAAUUUUUUUGCUUCUUAAAUUUGCUUUUCAUCAUUAAAAUGUCAAGUUCAAGUGAUAUGUGCCUAAUAUCACUUGGAUGUUGGUGGGUUUUUGAAUUUUUGGGUGGUUAAUCAGUUUUAUUUUGAAAAGACGUACUUGAAAAGUUACAGCAUAUGUUUGAACAGGAAGUAGGAACAUGCAUACACGAAGAAAUGCUAACGGAAGGAUUUGUAAUGUUUAGGAUCUUCCCUUGGAAACUAAAAAUAGAAUAUUAAUGACAUUACUGUUUGUAGAAUGACAUAUGCAGAUUUUCUUAUAAGCAGUCAUUAUGUUUGCCAGUAAUGUUUGAGAGACAUGUAAGUUGAAAGUUUUGCUAAAUUAUAAAGCUCCUUUAAUUCAUUGGUUUUGGUUCUCUUGUUCUCUUGUCUUUUCUAAAUGUUAACAAAAUAUAUCUUAACAGAUUACAUGAAAUUUAGGAAUUAUUUAAAAGUUACCAUUAGCUCUAAAAUUAAGAUUCAGAUGCUUUAUUUAUAGUAACUGAAGCUAAUAAUGUUUUAUGUUUUGAUUUUUUGAAAUUUAAUUGUAGAAGUCACUGCCUUCUGAGUUUUCAAAUAGAUAACCACCUUUAAUAUUACACUGCUUAUAAUACUAAUGUUUACAGAUAUGUUUCUGUUUAUAACCAUACAAUACAUUGGCUUUGUCAUAUUAGUUUUUUUUGCAAGUAGUUGUGUAAAAGAGAUAGAUAAUAAAAUAUUAAAUAAC
rnacentral:sRNA from 1 species